GGCCAUCUCGGUGUCUUCUUGAUUUUAAUAAAUUUUUAGAUCUUAUCUUAUUCUAUUAACUUUUUUUAGUAUCCCUCCAUAUUUCACUGUGUAAGAAAAUGACAUUAAUGCCUUCUACUCUUGUCUUCACCUCUUUCUUUUCUUCCAAUUCCUAUUUUGUAUCAACUAUUUAUUUUUACAUAGCUGAGACUGAUAACAUUCAAUUCUGUACUAUAACCAUAAUUAAACCUUCCAAACUUUUGAUUUGAAAAGUUAAAAACCAAUAAAUACUCUUGAUAUUAUUUUGACAACAUAAAUUUUUUUUUAACCACAGAGCUGACCAGGAGGGUAAGAUUUUAUUCCUUUUUUUUUCUUUUUAACUUUAGUCCAGUUGUCUUUGCCCCUAGGCACCUAAAAGGAGAUAUUCUUGGCCUCUAGAACAAAGGUUUGUCUUUUCUUAUGGUGCAUUAGUUCCAUAAAAUCUUGUCACAUUUUAGAUGCUUCAUAUUUGGGCCAUAAUGUUCUCUUGGAUUGAUCUGGAUUUUUAAAAAAAUUUCAAAUUGUCUCUUCUUUUCUCCUUGAAAAAGCAGAGUCAGCCUUUAAUAUAUCUUGAAGAUCAAUACUAUCACUUGGAAUCCACUUUUCUUAACCCCUAGGAGCCUUCUAUUCCAGUUUUAACUGUCAUUCCUUAACUAUGCUACAAAUUCAUCCUCAAGAAUAUUUCUCCAUUGCACUCUUAAAGACACUGUUUUCUUGGUUUCCUCCCUCAUUUUGCUAACGAACAUACAAAUUAACUUCACCAAGCGGAAGUUGUGUGAGUGUGGGAGGCUCUCAGGACACCUACAUUUGGGUGAAAAACAUGUUUGUGUUUUGCACUCACACUGGGUUGAUAUUUGGCUGGAUAAGAAUUCUAUGUUUGCAGUAACUUUCCCUUAGGAGUUUAAAGAUAAUGCUUCUCUAUCUACUUGUAUUAUAUUGGGUCUGUCAUCAAAACAGUG